GACGAACGCUGGCGGCGUGCCUAAUACAUGCAAGUUGAGCGCUGAAGGUUGGUACUUGUACCAACUGGAUGAGCAGCGAACGUGUGAGUAACGCGUGGGGAAUCUGCCUUUGAGCGGGGGACAACAUUUGGAAACGAAUGCUAAUACCGCAUAAAAACUUUAAACACAAGUUUUAAGUUUGAAAGAUGCAAUUGCAUCACUCAAAGAUGAUCCCGCGUUGUAUUAGCUAGUUGGUGAGGUAAAGGCUCACCAAGGCGAUGAUACAUAGCCGACCUGAGAGGGGAUCGGCCAAAUUGGGGAUGAGACAAGGCCCAAACUCCCACGGGAGGGAGCAGUAGGGAAUCUUCGGCAAUGGAAGAAAGUCUUACCGAGCAACGCCGGGUGAGUGAAGAAGGGUUUUGGAUCGGAAAACUCUGUUGGUAGAGAAGAACGGUGGGGAGAGUGGAAAGCUCAUCAAGGGACGGUAACUACCCAGAAAGGGACGGCUAACUACGUG
rnacentral:rRNA from 1 species